UCUCAAAGUGCCUUCUUAGGACCUUCUCACUGCCUUCUCACCAGGAUUUGUCUUGCACUUCAGCACUGUUUGAGAUGCAUCAAAAGCAAAGAGAGUAUAUAGGAGUUCAUUAGCCUCAUGUCCAUCUAGAGGUCAGAAAGAUGGGAGGAGCCAGAAAGGAGACUGAGAGCAGCCGCUGAGGAGAGGAAGGAGUCCUGAAAACCAAAGGAAGAAAAAUAAAAGUGAUCAUUUGUUGAGGACACUGCUGAUGGGCCAAGCAUCCACACAAAUACCACCCAAGCAUCCUUUCUGUGCAAUGAAGAUCAUAAGAAAACCUCCCUAAAACAGACUUGACUGUUUCAUUUGUGACUAGUUGAAGGUACAAAAAUCAAAGUUUCCCUUUACCUUAGAAAUAAGUGUUUCCAAAGGAAAAUCUGUCUACAGAAUUAUACUGGAAAUUUUGUUGUUGUUCAGUCACUAAGUCACGUUCAACUCUUUGAAA